rnacentral:rRNA from 1 species
CCUACGGGUGGCAGCAGUGGGGAAUAUUGGACAAUGGGGGCAACCCUGAUCCAGCCAUGCCGCGUGUGUGAAGAAGGCCCUCGGGUUGUAAAGCACUUUCAGUGAGGAAGAACGCCUGGUGGUUAAUACCCAUCAGGAAAGACAUCACUCACAGAAGAAGCACCGGCUAACUCCGUGCCAGCAGCCGCGGUAAUACGGAGGGUGCGAGCGUUAAUCGGAAUUACUGGGUGUAAAGCGCGCGUAGGUGGCUUGAUAAGCCGGUUGUGAAAGCCCCGGGCUCAACCUGGGAACGGCAUCCGGAACUGUCAAGCUAGAGUGCAGGAGAGGAAGGUAGAAUUCCCGGUGUAGCGGUGAAAUGCGUAGAGAUCGGGAGGAAUACCAGUGGCGAAGGCGGCCUUCUGGACUGACACUGACACUGAGGUGCGAAAGCGUGGGUAGCAAACAGGAUUAGAUACCCCGGUAGUC